rnacentral:rRNA from 1 species
UACGGAGGGUGCAAGCGUUAUCCGGAUUUACUGGGUUUAAAGGGUGCGUAGGUGGGUCUGUAAGUCAGUGGUGAAAUCUCCGAGCUUAACUCGGAAACUGCCAUUGAUACUAUAGGUCUUGAAUUAUCUGGAGGUGAGCGGAAUAUGUCAUGUAGCGGUGAAAUGCUUAGAUAUGACAUAGAACACCAAUUGCGAAGGCAGCUCACUACGGAUAUAUUGACACUGAGGCACGAAAGCGUGGGGAUCAACAGG